rnacentral:rRNA from 1 species
AUACGGAGGGUGCAAGCGUUACUCGGAAUCACGGGGCGUAAAGCGCGCGCAGGCGGCUAUUUAAGUUGGAUGUGAAAGCCUACGGCUCAACCGUAGAACUGCAUCCAAAACUAUUUAGCUAGAGUGUGGGAGAGGAAGAUGGAAUUAGUUGUGUAGGGGUAAAGUCCGUAGAGAUAACUAGGAAUACCAAAAGCGAAGGCAAUCUUCUGGAACACUACUGACGCUGAGGCGCGAAAGCGUGGGGAGCAAACGGGAUUAGAUACCCUAGUAGUCC